rnacentral:rRNA from 1 species
GACGAACGCUGGCGGCGUGCUUAACACAUGCAAGUCGAACGGUAAGGCCCCAGCUUGCUGGGGUACACGAGUGGCGAACGGGUGAGUAACACGUGGGUGACCUGCCCCGCACUUCGGGAUAAGCCUGGGAAACUGGGUCUAAUACCGGAUAGGACCGCACCGUGAGGGUGUGGUGGAAAGUUGUUCGGUGUGGGAUGGGCCCGCGGCCUAUCAGCUUGUUGGUGGGGUAAUGGCCUACCAAGGCGGCGACGGGUAGCCGGCCUGAGAGGGUGGACGGCCACAUUGGGACUGAGACACGGCCCAGACUCCUACGGGAGGCAGCAGUGGGGAAUAUUGCACAAUGGGCGGAAGCCUGAUGCAGCGACGCCGCGUGGGGGAUGACGGCCUUCGGGUUGUAAACUCCUUUCACCAUCGACGAAGGUUUUCUGACGGUAGAUGGAGAAGAAGCACCGGCUAACUACGUG